CCAGACAGUCUAAGAGGCACAGAUAAACGCAGAAAUGGGCCUGAAUUCUCCAAUGACAUCAAGAAAAGGAAGGUGGAUGAUAAGGACUCCAGCCACUAUGACAGUGAUGGUGACAAAAGCGAUGACAACUUAGUUGUGGAUGUGUCUAAUGAGGACCCUUCUUCUCCGCGAGCAAGCCCUGCCCACUCGCCCCGGGAAAAUGGAAUCGACAAAAAUCGCCUGCUAAAGAAGGAUGCUUCUAGCAGUCCAGCUUCCACUGCCUCCUCGCAUGAAAAAGCCAGCACGCCUGUUCUGAAAUCCAGCACACCAACCCCUCGGAGCGACAUGCCAACGCCGGGCACCAGCGCCACUCCAGGCCUCCGUCCAGGCCUCGGCAAGCCUCCAGCCAUAGACCCCCUCGUUAACCAAGCGGGAUUGGGUUUUCAUUUGGAAUUGGUACCAGGGAAUGGAAAGUUCGGACUGAAAGAGAAAUCUUGGAUUUUAUCGAGAAAAUCUUCUUCUGAGAUUAAGUCAGCUGGCUUGAGGACACCCCUGGCAGUGCCCGGCCCAUACCCUGCUCCUUUUGGGAUGGUCCCCCACGCUGGCAUGAAUGGCGAGCUGACCAGCCCAGGCGCUGCCUAUGCCAGUU
rnacentral:sRNA from 1 species